UGAAUCUGUAAUGCAUCCAGUUUUUAGUUUGUGCACAAUUUUCCUCUCCUAUACCACGAGGUUUUUGUUUUUGUUUUUGCGGCAAACGUGGCUCAGUCAUCAUAUUUUUGCUUUGUAACACAGGGAAGUAUCCUGCUGAAAGAGGCCACAGCCAGGGGCAGGGAAUAGGAUGCAAUGCUUAGGACGGAUGAAGCCUAAUGACUCCUUUGAACUGCCGACAUCCCCGGCAGAUUGGAUUCGGGAAUGUCAGCCAACUAACCUUUAGUCUCUUUCCCACAUGAAGCAACAGUGAAGGGCACGUAAUACCAAUCUUUCGAUUCAUGUCCCUCUCCUGUAUUCAUAAUCAGGAUAUGCUGGCAUAGUGUGAAAGGAAGGCAAAAAGUGAAGAAGAAGAAGCAUUGUCAAACUCAUGCUUCACCACGGACACUCAUAGGAUCUUUCUCUGUGCGCCCCUCUGUUUCUCAAUCUUAGCGUCUUAUAAAACUGCCUGAGUUUCUCCUUUGGAUGGGCCAUGCUGUCUUGUGGUGAUUUAAAGGGAAGAAGGGAGAUCAUGCUGGAUCAUGGCAGACCCACCACAGCACAGAGACCUCCCUGCCGAUGAGCAAACACCACGACAAAUGGCAGAGCUAGCUGGACAAUCACUUGCUGAAUGGAAGCUAAUUAGCUGGAGUCUAAUGCCAGUUUACUAACACCUGUAUUAGUGUGCUCGCUCGGCAGGGAGUAAGGGCUGGCCAACAAGUGCUAAUCCCUCAUAAGCCCAAAGUACUCCUCCCAAACAGUGGCAUUAACAUAUACUUCUCAAGCCAGCUGUUGCUAACCUGAACCCAAAAGAGACAGCUUCAACAGUGAUGUGUUGCUAAAGAGGAGGGGAAAGAUCGGUAACGGGUUACCUAUGCAUUCCUGUAGAAUCCCCCCCCCCCCGAAAUGCUGUGGACCACAAUUUAUCCUCUUUCUUGUCAUUUUCCCCAUCUCUCAAGCGUACAUUUUUUAGUUACUUGGAAACGCCAUCAUUUGCAUGUGUCCAUUUCAACCUCAUUCCUUGGCUGUCUUGCACUCUCCCAUCCUCUCCCACUGCAUGGGUGGUGGGCUGAUUACCCAGUAGCCAUGUGUGUAUCAAGGCAAGUGCGAAGCCAAUGUGUGUGUAAGGGAUUAGUGAGCUUUAGCAUUAACAUCAUGACUGGACUGGCUACAUUCCCUCGCUGCACUAAUAAUUUGAGGGGAGGAGAAAGCGGCUGGUCCAUUAGCUCACUCUGUUUGCCCAAGAGUAGGCCGACUCUGAUCCCCUAAUUUCUCUCACCGAUUCCAAGAGGAUCUCUAGCUUUUGUGACAGAGGGAUGCAAAGAUAAAGGAUGGGACUGAGGGGCACAUUGAUUCAGAGAUCACCGUCCUUGGGACAUUCUGUGCACUUACCAAACUAAUCAGUGUGUGUAAACACAGCGAGACAUGUUGAGAGUUGGCGGCUAAAAGGCUGGGGUCUCUGAGGUUGAUUAGGAAGACCUGUUGAUGGACCACACUCAGUGUUGGUGUGCUCUGAUCUGCAGACAUUAUGCAGAAAAUCUGUGAGCCCCUUUGGCUCAUGUGUCACACUAGUUCUGACUGUGGGUGGCUCCAAGUUGGCUUGUUGUAGCCUCUGGUGCGCUUACAAAGUGUUAACAGAUCAGGUAUCUGAUGCUUCUCCCAAAGUCCUUUUUAAAAUGUAGCACAAAUGCUAUUCAGUUUAUGAAAAAGCAGGGGUAAGAUUAUUGUGAGGAAUCUGUUUUGGACCAUACCAUCAUGUGCACCCCCUGACCUGUGUGUGCAUGGGAAAUCAGAUAUGUUUCCAUGGAGUAAUACUGAGACUGUGGAGUUUUUUUGUACAAAUUGUCCAGUUUUUUUGUUGUAGAACUCUCCUUCAUUGUAAAAAGGCAUCUGUAAACCUGGUCUAACCUUGUGUGUCUCCCUCUGAGGUUAAAAUCUAAAAAAAAUUUCAGCUCUCAUUUAAAAUCCCAUGUUUGACCAUACACUAAUAAAAGA